AACGAACGCUGGUGGUAUGCUUAAUACAUGCAAGUCGAACGGGCAUAGCAAUAUGUCAGUGGCAAACGGGUGAGGAAUAUAUAGGAACCUCCCUAGCAGUAAGGAAUAACUUUGGGAAACCAAAGCUAAUGCCAUAUAUUACCCCUUAAGAAAUUAAGGGGGAAAGAUUUAUCGCUGUUAGAUGGGCCUGUAUCAGAUUAGCUAGUUGGUAGGGUAAUGGCCUACCAAGGCAAUGAUCUGUAGCUGGUCUGAGAGGAUGAUCAGCCACACUGGAACUGAGACACGGUCCAGACUCCUACGGGAGGCAGCAGUAGGGAAUAUUGGACAAUGGGGGGAACCCUGAUCCAGCCAUGCCGCGUGUGUGAAGAAGGCCUUAUGGUUGUAAAGCACUUUAAGCGAGGAGGAGGCUACUCUAGUUAAUACCUAGGGAUAGUGGACGUUACUCGCAGAAUAAGCACCGGCUAACUCUGUGCCAGCCGCCGCAGUAA
rnacentral:rRNA from 1 species